rnacentral:rRNA from 1 species
CGGUUGUCACGCCAGUGGCAUUGCCGAGUAGCUAAGUGUGGAAGAGAUAACCGCUGAAAGCAUCUAAGCGGGAAACUCGUUUCAAGAUGAGAUCUGCCGGGGCCUUGAGCCCCCUGAAGAGUCGUUCAAGACCAGGACGUUGAUAGGUCAGGUGUGGAAGCGCAGUAAUGCGUUAAGCUAACUGAUACUAAUUGCUCGUGCGGCUUGACCCUAUAACUUUG